rnacentral:rRNA from 1 species
AGCAGUGAGGAAUAUUGGUCAAUGGGCGUAAGCCUGAACCAGCCAAGUCGCGUGAGGGAUGAAGGUUCUAUGGAUCGUAAACCUCUUUUAUAAGGGAAUAAAGUGUGGGACGUGUCCUAUUUUGUAUGUACCUUAUGAAUAAGGAUCGGCUAACUCCGUGCCAGCAGCCGCGGUAAUACGGAGGAUCCGAGCGUUAUCCGGAUUUAUUGGGUUUAAGGGGUGCGUAGGCGGCCUUUUAAGUCAGCGGUGAAAGUCUGUGGCUCAACCAUAGAAUUGCCGUUGAAACUGGGGGGCUUGAGUAUGUUUGAGGCAGGCGGAAUGCGUGGUGUAGCGGUGAAAUGCUUAGAUAUCACGCAGAACCCCGAUUGCGAAGGCAGCCUGCCAAGCCAUGACUGACGCUGAUGCACGAAAGCGUGGGGAUCAAACAGGAUUAGAUACCCUGGUAGUCCACGCAGUAAACGAUGAUCACUAGCUGUUUGCGAUACAGUGUAA